rnacentral:misc_RNA from 1 species
GAUGAAGAACGCAGUGAAAUGCGAUAAGUAAUGUGAAUUGCAGAAUUUAGUGAAUCAUCGAAUCUUUGAACGCACAUUGCGCCCCUUGGUAUUCCGGGGGGCAUGCCUGUUCGAGCGUCAUUUCAACCCUCAAGCACUGCUUGGUCUUGGGCCACGCCGGCGACGGCAGGCCUCAAACGUAGUGGCGGCACCAUCGGUUCCCUCAGUGUAGUAAUAUCUCUCGCUGCUGGGCCCUGGUGGUCGCUAGCCAGCAACCUCAAUUUUUUCUGGUUGACCUCGGAUCAGGUAGGGAUACCCGCUGAACUUAAGCAUAUCAAUAAGCGGAGGA